rnacentral:rRNA from 1 species
CCUACGGGAGGCAGCAGUGGGGAAUAUUGCUCAAUGGGGGAAACCCUGAAGCAGCAACGCCGCGUGAAGGAAGAAGGAUUUCGGUAUGUAAAGCUCUUUUGAUAGGGAAGAAAAUGACGGUACCUAACGAAUAAGCACCGGCUAACUACGUGCCAGCAGCCGCGGUAAUACGUAGGGUGCAAGCGUUAUCCGGAUUUACUGGGGGUAAAGGGCGCGUAGACGGGAUAGCAAGUAUGAAGUGAAAUGCCAUGGCUUAACCAUAGAACUGCUUUGGAAACUGUGUAUCUGGAGUGCAGGAGAGGUAAGCGGAAUUCUUAGUGUAGCGGUGAAAUGCGUAGAUAUUAAGAGGAACACCAAUUGCGAAGGCGGCCUACUGGAGCGUAACUGACGCUGAGGCGCGAAAGCGUGGGGAGCAAACAGGAUUAGAUACCCCAGUAGUC